rnacentral:lncRNA from 1 species
GCAGUUAUGGCAUGGGUUGAUCUAGCCAGUCAGCAAGGCCAGAUUGCAGAGAAACUCAGAGUCUAGGAAAAUGAAUGUCUAGUAUCAUUCCUCAAAUAGUUCUAGCAGAAGACACAAACAUGAUGCAUCUGGAUGAAGAAUAUAUCACUGAGAUUAAUGGCCCUGGGUUGCAGCCAAAAGCAUCUCAGAGGUAGAACACUGUUGCAGAUGGUGAUGUCACCAUUUGAAAGGUAUGAUGCAUUUCCUGACUGUAGUCGGCUUUCCAUGGGUGAAACAGAAAAGUCUUCAAAUAUCCUCACCAACUGCUUUCCUAGAUUUUUCAGCCAGUUACUUGACCAUAUUAGGAAAAAAAAGGUGAGCUUGGGCUUCAGGACAUACAAAACAACAUUAGUUAUGCUGGAAAGUAUCACCAAAGAAGUGCAGCUCAGACAAGCUGUAUUCUAUUUUGUUCUUUUGAACAUAAACACCUACAAAGGGACCAAAAGAAAUCUAAAUGAUCAACGCGAGCAAUCCUGAAUAGGCAGCAACGAUCAUUAUUGCCAAGUGAUUGUCUUAUCAUUUGUCAUCAGUUUUUUUUUUUUCAGAGUAAUUACAGUUAAAUGUAAAUGUG